UUCUGAAAAUUAUACUUCCUGUUUUAUCAUAUACUUUCAUUUUAUUUUCUUUGUAACUGAACAUGCCCUAUAAAAUAGUUGUAAAUCAGAAAAAAACUUCUAUUAUUACUAGAGGAUGUGACUUCAGAACAGGUACAACAAAAAUGGAUUCUGUUGCUCUUAAAAGAUUGGAGAACCAAAUCAAAGAUGAUGAAGAUAUAGUCGUAGAAAAGGGGCAUCUUAGGCGUAAAAAAAACCCAGAUCAUCUUGAUGAUACAUUAAAAAUUUCUUGUGACCCCCAUUCACAUGAUUGCUUCUCCGAAAAUCGUUUUAAAGGACAACCGUCGACUGAUGACUCAGAAUUAAAUAAAUUGGAAAAUUAUCUAAUAACCAAAAGACAGAUAUAUCCCAGCAAAAAGUAUCGAAAAUCAAGGUGCUCAGCCUCAAAGAGGAAAAUGAUUUGAAUCAGGAUCCAGAAGGAACUACUAGUAAACCAUCUCAAGACUGCAGGGAAAUCAUACAUGCUGAAUCGAUUAUUGAUGCUGAUACAUCCCUUCCCGUUAAAUUGUUAAACUCGAGAUCUGAAACUGUCAGUUUAACUGAAAUAUCACAACUCCAAAAAUUUGAAACUGAAACAAUCACAAAAGAAUUUACAGCUUCGUAUAUGCCUCUUGAAGGUACCGAUACAAUCAAUACGGCAUAUUCAAAUACAGAUCUAGAUACAGAUUCAGAUACAGAUUCAGAUACAGAUCCAUCACAAUCACCUAUAUAUCAAACGAAAGAACCUAAAAAUAACUCAAAACAAUUCAGCCAAUUAUCGUUCUGGGAAGAAGAUUCCAGCUCAAUUGAAUCCAUAAAUGAUGCUUCAUCAGUAACAUUACGAACGAAUGAAGAGGAUGACUAUGGAUUGAUCCCAUUAGAUGUGGGUCAUGCUCGGAGACGCCACGGAGAGUCCGUCUCGUCCGAGUUAAGUGAUAGCGACAUUGAGGCUUUAAUUAAUUACGGAGGGCGUACUUCAAACGAAGUAGAUGUAUAUAGACAUAGAUCAACCUUGUUUGUGGAUGAUGUAUUCAUAAGAGAAGUUCGUCCAGCAAUUUAUAGUGAAGACCAAUUAAGAUUAUUCAUAUUGGAUUUCUUUUGUUGUUUGUUUGUUUCUUCACUUAUAUUUUUCUUUCUUUCCUUUCUUUUCUUUUCAUUCGUUCUUUUCAUCUUUUUUCUUUUACUUACCUCUUUGCCAAAUAAUCGAUAUGUGUAAUUGAUUGGGAGAAUUAAAUUAAGUCUGAUUUUGUUUUAUCAUUCACUAAAAUACAAAUUGCAUUCAACCUUGAUUGAGUUCCAUCAGAGUGGCUUUGUUAUACACACAUACAUAAAUGCAUUAAUAUCUUGUAUUUAUACAACUUUCAUAUAGAUUACCAUAUAGCGGGUUUACUUGGCGGGUGUAAGAUUUGGCGUUUUGCCCGCUCAAUUAUAUGCCAAUAAUUUUGGCGUUAUUCAUUUUAGUGAGUUCCAUCUCAUUGCUGACUAAAAAGAGUAAUUACUUGCUAUUUUUAGCUUUUAAAAUGUUAGAGGACUACCAUCACAACGCCUAAAUUAGCAUCCCGCUGAAAUAAUCCACCAUACUGUUUUUUUAUUUAGUAAAAAUAUUGCAAAUAUGAUCGUGAAAAUUAUUUGCACAAGAUUUUGUUCUUUUA